rnacentral:sRNA from 1 species
UGUCUAGUGCAAGAGGUGAGUGAAAUGAG